rnacentral:rRNA from 1 species
AGCCCGCUCAGGUGUGCCAGCCGCCGCGGUAAUACGGAGGAUGCGAGCGUUAUCCGGAUUUAUUGGGUUUAAAGGGUGCGUAGGUGGUUAAUUAAGUCAGCGGUGAAAGUUUGUGGCUCAACCAUAAAAUUGCCGUUGAAACUGGUUGACUUGAGUAUAUUUGAGGUAGGCGGAAUGCGUGGUGUAGCGGUGAAAUGCAUAGAUAUCACGCAGAACUCCGAUUGCGAAGGCAGCUUACUAAACUAUAACUGACACUGAAGCACGAAAGCGUGGGGAUCAAACAGG